UGCCAGCAGCCGCGGUAAUACGGAGGGGGUUAGCGUUGUUCGGAAUUACUGGGCGUAAAGCGCGCGUAGGCGGAUUAGAAAGUUGGGGGUGAAAUCCCGGGGCUCAACCUCGGAACUGCCUCCAAAACUGCUAGUCUAGAGUUCGAGAGAGGUGAGUGGAAUUCCGAGUGUAGAGGUGAAAUUCGUAGAUAUUCGGAGGAACACCAGUGGCGAAGGCGGCUCACUGGCUCGAUACUGACGCUGAGGUGCGAAAGUGUGGGGAGCAAACAGGAUUAGAUACCCUGGUAGUCCACACCGUAAACGAUGAAUGCCAGUCGUCGGGUAGUAUACUAUUCUGGUGACACACCUAACGGAUUAAGCAUUCCGCCUGGGGAGUACGGUCGCAGGAUUAAAACUCAAAGGAAUUGACGGGG
rnacentral:rRNA from 1 species